GACCUCAGGGCUUAUGUACCAUUUUAACAAGGGCAAUAAAUUGUGGAGAAAUGACUAGCAAAGAAAGGGUGGGGGUUGGGCCCCUAGGGGCAAUAAAUUGUCAAAAGGUAAAUAUGUGGUGAAACUAAUGGAAGACAGGGUUAUUUUAGGAAGGCUUCUUUGUGCAGAUUCAUCUCAAUGUCAACUUUCCAUCUUUUUCAUGUACAUAAAACGCCCCUGGGGAGAGAAGGGAUUUAUGGCAACCUAAUUUCUCAGAAGUUUCUGCUUUUAGUCAGAUAAGGGAAGCUACAAGAAGGCUUUCUUUCUCUAUCUGUUGAUUCCCAAUAACCUUCGACUCAAAACAAUCCAUAUGUCAAACUGGCAUGUUUUAAGGUGGCAUACUCUGGCCCCCUUCAUGAGCAUGUAUUUCUUGCAUACAAGGCCUGAAGUUUGG
rnacentral:lncRNA from 1 species